GAGGAAACGAAAAACGUUUKUGAGGCAUGCCCCAUCGCCACCUAACACCAGGAAACGCAGGAACCAGGAACCAGGCCCGUCAAACCAGGAAUCAGGCCCAUCAACAUCAAAGUCUCCCCUGCGAGUCACCAAUGGCAAAAAAUCCCCCUUAAAUGGCCACAAAACUGAAUCGUCGCUUCCAGCCAUCGCCAACCUGCCCAGCGGAUUAAUAAUCGAAAGCAUCAGUCCAGGACGAACGUCGCCCGAGCCCAAGCAAUGCAUUGUCUGCAAGAAACCAGGUGACAGCGCGUUUUGUUCUAGGUGCUCUGUCGAUAUGC